GGGUAAGCGCAAUUGUUCGGAAGGAAUGAUCCGUGAAUGCGGUCUAGGACCGGCAUCAAGGCAAGUAAUAAGACGAAUUGACCCCUGGUAAACUUGAUGAAUAGACGCGCAAUGUCACUAACCGGAAAGGAAUGAUUACCGUAAAGUAUGGAUAAUGAAUCAAUGGAAUUUACUUCCGUCAGGUACGUAUAAAAAGGGUUGUAACUUUAGUAUGAGGUUAUGACUCGACUAGAGAGGGAUGCGUCAGAAUAGAAUAUGUGUAUACAAAACCGUAAUGAAAAAUGUGAAGUGAACUUCUAAAUGUUCGUAAUGAUCAUCGAGUGGUAUUGA
rnacentral:lncRNA from 1 species